rnacentral:rRNA from 1 species
ACUCCUACGGGAGGCAGCAGUGGGGAAUAUUGGACAAUGGGCGCAAGCCUGAUCCAGCCAUGCCGCGUGAGUGAUGAAGGCCCUAGGGUUGUAAAGCUCUUUCACCGGUGAAGAUAAUGACGGUAACCGGAGAAGAAGCCCCGGCUAACUUCGUGCCAGCAGCCGCGGUAAUACGAAGGGGGCUAGCGUUGUUCGGAUUUACUGGGCGUAAAGCGCACGUAGGCGGACUAUUAAGUCAGGGGUGAAAUCCCGGGGCUCAACCCCGGAACUGCCUUUGAUACUGGUAGUCUUGAGUUCGAGAGAGGUGAGUGGAAUUCCGAGUGUAGAGGUGAAAUUCGUAGAUAUUCGGAGGAACACCAGUGGCGAAGGCGGCUCACUGGCUCGAUACUGACGCUGAGGUGCGAAAGCGUGGGGAGCAAACAGGAUUAGAAACCCGUGUAGUCC